AUUGAACGCUGGCGGCAGGCCUAACACAUGCAAGUCGAACGAGUGGCGGACGGGUGAGUAAUGUCUGGGAAACUGCCUGCUGGUGGGGGAUAACUACUGGAACCGGUAGCUAAUACCACAUUCCAUCAGAUGUUCCCAGAUGGGAUUAGCUAGUUGGUGGGGUAACGGCUCACCAGGGCGACGAUCCCUAGCUGGGCUGAGAGGAUGACGAGCGACACUGGAACUAGGACACGGGCCAGACUCCUACGAGAGGCAGCGGUGGGGAAUAUGGAGCAAUGGGCGCAAGGCGGGUGAAGCCAUGCCGCGUGUAUGAAGAGGGCCUUCGGGUUGUAAAGUACUUUCAGCGGGGGGGCGUUACCCGCAGAAGAAGCACCGGCUAACUCCGUGCCAGCAGCCGCGGUAAUAC
rnacentral:rRNA from 1 species